CCUACGGGUGGGCAGCAGUGAGGAAUAUUGGUCAAUGGGCGCGAGCCUGAACCAGCCAAGUCGCGUGAGGGAAGACGGUCCUAUGGAUUGUAAACCUCUUUUGUCGGGGAGCAAAAGACGCCACGCGUGGCGUUCCGAGAGUACCCGAAGAAAAAGCAUCGGCUAACUCCGUGCCAGCAGCCGCGGUACUACGGAGGAUGCGAGCGUUGUCCGGAAUUACUGGGUGUAAAGGGAGCGUAGGCGGGGAUGCAAGUUGGGUGGCAAAACUACCGGCUCAACUGGUAGUCGCACUCAAAACUGCAGCUCUUGAGUGAAGUAGAGGCAGGCGGAAUUCCUAGUGUAGCGGUGAAAUGCGUAGAUAUUAGGAGGAACACCAGUGGCGAAGGCGGCCUGCUGGGCUUUUACUGACGCUGAGGCUCGAAAGUGUGGGGAGCAAACAGGAUUAGAUACCCUAGUAGUC
rnacentral:rRNA from 1 species